rnacentral:rRNA from 1 species
GAUGAACGCUGGCGGCGUGCCUAAUACAUGCAAGUCGAGCGAACGGACGAGAAGCUUGCUUCUCUGAUGUUAGCGGCGGACGGGUGAGUAACACGUGGAUAACCUACCUAUAAGACUGGGAUAACUUCGGGAAACCGUAGCUAAUACCGGAUAAUAUGUUGAACCGCAUGGUUCAAAAGUGAAAGACGGUCUUGCUGUCACUUAUAGAUGGAUCCGCGCUGCAUUAGCUAGUUGGUAAGGUAACGGCUUACCAAGGCAACGAUGCGUAGCCGACCUGAGAGGGUGAUCGGCCACACUGGAACUGAGACACGGUCCAGACUCCUACGGGAGGCAGCAGUAGGGAAUCUUCCGCAAUGGGCGAAAGCCUGACGGAGCAACGCCGCGUGAGUGAUGAAGGUCUUCGGAUCGUAAAACUCUGUUAUUAGGGAAGAACAUAUGUGUAAGUAACUGUGCACAUCUUGACGGUACCUAAUGAGAAAGCCACGGCUAACUACGUG